rnacentral:pre_miRNA from 1 species
UACAUACUCCCUCCGUUCGGAAUUACUCGUCCAAAAAAUGAAUGUAUCUGGAUGUAUUUUAGUUGUACAUACAUUCAUUUUUGUGACAAGUAAUUCCGAACGGAGGGAGUACUUU